rnacentral:misc_RNA from 1 species
ACCUGCGGGAGGAUCAUUACCGAGUGCGGGCUGCCUCCGGGCGCCCAACCUCCCACCCGUGACUACCUAACACUGUUGCUUCGGCGGGGAGCCCUCUCGGGGGCGAGCCGCCGGGGACUACUGAACUUCAUGCCUGAGAGUGAUGCAGUCUGAGUCUGAAUAUAAAAUCAGUCAAAACUUUCAACAAUGGAUCUCUUGGUUCCGGCAUCGAUGAAGAACGCAGCGAACUGCGAUAAGUAAUGUGAAUUGCAGAAUUCAGUGAAUCAUCGAGUCUUUGAACGCACAUUGCGCCCCCUGGCAUUCCGGGGGGCAUGCCUGUCCGAGCGUCAUUGCUGCCCAUCAAGCCCGGCUUGUGUGUUGGGUCGUCGUCCCCCCCGGGGGACGGGCCCGAAAGGCAGCGGCGGCACCGUGUCCGGUCCUCGAGCGUAUGGGGCUUUGUCACCCGCUCGAUUAGGGCCGGCCGGGCGCCAGCCGACGUCUCCAACCAUUUUUUUCAGGUUGACCUCGGAUCAGGUAGGGAUACCCGCUGAACUUAAGCAUAUC